rnacentral:rRNA from 1 species
AUUGAACGCUGGCGGCAUGCCUUACACAUGCAAGUCGAACGGUAACGGGCCUUCGGGUGCCGACGAGUGGCGAACGGGUGAGUAAUACAUCGGAACGUGCCCGAACGUGGGGGAUAACGAGGCGAAAGCUUUGCUAAUACCGCCUACGAUCUACGGAUGAAAGCAGGGGACCGCAAGGCCUUGCGCGGACGGAGCGGCCGAUGGCAGAUUAGCUAGUUGGUGGGAUACAAGCUUACCAAGCCGACGAUCUGUAGCUGGUCUGAGAGGAUGAUCAGCCACACUGGGACUGAGACACGGCCCAGACUCCUACGGGAGGCAGCAGUGGGGAAUUUUGGACAAUGGGCGCAAGCCUGAUCCAGCCAUGCCGCGUGCAGGAUGAAGGCCUUCUGGUUGUAAACUGCUUUUGUACGGAACGAAAAGCCUUCUUUUAAUACAGGAGGGUCAUGACGGUACCGUAAGAAUAAGCACCGGCUAACUACGUG